rnacentral:rRNA from 1 species
CGCAUCUGUGCAUGCAGCAUAUCAAUAAGCGGAGGAAAAGAAACUAACAAGGAUUCCCCUAGUAACGGCGAGUGAAGCGGGAAGAGCUCAAAUUUGAAAUCUUAAAGGGUUUCCCUUUACGAAUUGUAGUUUAAAGAAGUGUUUUCUGUUGAGGUUUUGGUAAAAGUUCUUUGGAAUAGGACAUCAUAGAGGGUGAGAAUCCCGUAUUUGACCUUUACUUUCAACUUUGUGAUACACUUUCAAAGAGUCGGAUUGUUUGGGAAUGCAGUCCAAAAUGGGUGGUAAAUUUCAUCUAAAGCUAAAUAUUGGCGAGAGACCGAUAGCGAACAAGUACCGUGAGGGAAAGAUGAAAAGAACUUUGAAAAGAGAGUUAAACAGUACGUGAAAUUGUCAAGAGGGAAGCGUUUGACACCAGUGUUGUUUUUCUGAAAAUCAAUUAAAGAACUGUUUAUGCUAAGUUGUUUAGACUUUAUCAGCUAACUGUUUAGUUUUGAGCUUUCUUUAAUGCACUUUUCAGUUAACAAGUCAACAUCAAUUUCUUCUGCUGUAAAAAAGCUUGAGGAAGGUGGCUUGAGAUUCGUCUUAAGUGUUUAUAGCCUCUUGCCUAUGCAGUCGGAGAGAUUGAGGUCUGCAGCGUAGAUCCUUCGGGGCUAAAUGCAUUUGUGCUAAGUUAUAACAUUUUAUAGACAACUUGUUGACUAUGAUUUGUCUUGUAGCUUACUCGCUUAUGUUAUUUUACCUACGCUUAGGAUGUUGAACGCGCACAGAGUCUC